UGCGGAAGGAUCAUUAAUGAGUUGUGAUGGGGUUUGAUGCUGGCAGCCAAUUUUUGGAUGCAUGUGCUUGCCUAACAAUCAUCUUCCAAACACCUGUGCACAUUUUUGAGGGAGUUUCGAGUUUUAUUGCCGUUUUUGGUGAUUUUCUUGUAUUCCCUUGAAUUAUUAUACGCUGUUAACAAUGAUGAACGUGCUCUGUGCCGCAAGGCCAUUAAUAUAAUACAACUUUUAACAACGGAUCUCUUGGCUCUCGCAUCGAUGAAGAACGCAGCGAAAUGCGAUAAGUAAUGUGAAUUGCAGAAUUCAGUGAAUCAUCGAAUCUUUGAACGCACCUUGCGCUCCCUGGUAUUCCGGGGAGCACGCCUGUUCGAGUGUCGCGAAAUUUCUCAAGCUUGGAUGGCCUUUUUGUCUGUCCUUAGCCUUGGUUGUUGGGCUUUGCCGUGUCCUUUGUUGGGACGGCUGGCCUUAAAAGCAUUAGCUGAUCCUCGUGUGGCACUGGUUCUACUCAGCGUGAUAACAGUCUGAUCGCUGAGGACAUCUUUUGGGAUGGCCAGUUCUCAUUUGGGUUGCUUCCAAACUUGGUUUUGCAGAUUCUUCAAUCUGUGUUCCACUUUUCAGCUUUGACCUCGAAUCAGGUGGGACUACCCGCUGAACUUAAGCAUAUCAUA
rnacentral:rRNA from 1 species